UCCCAAUCCCUAAAAACCCCCACAUCCCAAUCCCAAAGGAAGUUUGGGAAUCCCCACAUCCCAAUCCCGGAAAAUUCGGGAAUGACCUGGUUCUUUGGGCGGGUUUGGGCUUUUCCUGCUCCUCCUCUUCCUCUUCCAGGAAGUUUUCCAAGGAUUUUGGACUUUUCCUGCUCUUCCUCGGAGCUCCCACCUGCUUUUCCUUCUCCUCCUCUUCCCCUUCCAGAAGAUUUUCCAAGGAUUUUGGACUUUUCCUGCUCUUCCUUGGAGCUUUCCUGCUUUUCCUCGGAGCUCCCACCUGCUUUUCCUGCUCUUCCUCUUCCUCUUCCAGAAGGUUUUCCAAGGAUUCCUGCAGCUUCCUCCUCUUCCUCGGAGCUCCCACCUGCUUUUCCUUCUCCUCCUCUUCCUCUUCCACAAAGUUUUCCAAGGAUUUUGGAGUUUUCCUGCUCUUCCUCGGAGCUCCCACCUGCUUUUCCUCGUCUUCCUCUUCCUCUUCCAGGAGAUUUUCCAAGGAUUUUGGAGUCUUCCCACUUCUCUUUGGAGCUCCCACCUGCUUUUCCUCAUCUUCCUCUUCCUCUUCUGGGUGAUUUUCCAAGGAUUUUGGAGUUUUCCUGCUCUUCCUUAGAGCUUCCACCUCCUUUUCCUUUUCUUCCAGGAGGUUUUCCAAGGAUUUUGGAGUUUUCCUGCUCUUCCUCAGAGCUCCCACCUGCUUUUCCUCCUCCUCCUCUUCCUCUUCCACGAAGUUUUCCAAGGAUUUUGGAGUCUUCCCACUUCUCUUUGGAGCUCCCACCUGCUUUUCCUGUUCCUCCUCUUCCUCUCCCGGGAGGUUUUCCACGGAUUUUGGAGUUUUCCUUCUCUUCCUUGGAUCUCCCACCUCCUUUUCCUCGUCUUCCUCUUCCUCUUCUGGGUGAUUUUCCAAGGAUUUUGGAGUUUUCCUGCUCUUCCUUGGAGCUCCCACUUCCUUUUCCUUUUCUUCCAGGAGGUUUUCCAAGGAUUUUGGAGUUUUCCUGCUCUUCCUCAGAGCUCCCACCUGCUUUUCCUCCUCCUCCUCUUCCUCUUCCAGGUGCUUUUCCAAGGAUUU
rnacentral:lncRNA from 1 species